AUCCAGCUGACGAGUCCUAGAUAGGAUGAAAUGUGCAUCCUGCAU
rfam:Trichobilharzia regenti genome assembly, scaffold: TRE_scaffold0000958